GCAAACUUGGUCAUUUAGAGGAAGUAAAAGUCGUAACAAGGUUUCCGUAGGUGAACCUGCGGAAGGAUCAUUAUUGAUUUUUAAGAUGUGCUGGCAUUGCAGGUGCACUCUUCAAUUACCAAUAACCCACCUGUGCACUCUUAGUAGGCAAUGUGCCUAUGCAUUUUUCAUAAACAACUAUUGAUGUAAUUGAAUGUACUGUGAAUAAUGUAAUACAACUUUCAACAACGGAUCUCUUGGUUCUCGCAUCGAUGAAGAACGCAGC
rnacentral:misc_RNA from 1 species